AAUCCGUUUUUUGUUCAUAGAUUUCUGUUGUAGUUUAAUUUACUUGACAUUUUGCCAAGUCAUAGUUUUAGGACUAUCACAACAUAUGUAUUACUUUGCACCCAUGUCCUCUGUCAAAUUUGUUCAGUUCAAAGCAUUAAGACUAUGACCAGCUAUCCAAUUUGCAGUCCAGAUAUAUUGUUUCCUUAAUCAGCAAUGCAAAUUUGGGGCAGCUUCAACUUUCUUGUCUGAUUUUAUUUUGCAAUCUAUAAUCUGAACUGAAAGACAGGGGUACAUGCGCUCAGGUUUUGUAGUUGACUAACCAUUAGUAAUGCAAAUUAGGAGCCCCUUUAAUUUCUGUGAGCUGCAAGUGCAGUUGACCAAUAAUCUCAUACUUGCUCAUAAGCUGCUGAACUGAAUCAACACGCCUCUUUUGGUUCCAACAAAAAAAUUCCAUGCUUAGGACUGUAAAAUUACUUCUGUGUAAUGUUCAUAUGGGUCCGGAGGACAUUUUACACUUGAUGUUUACUUGUGCACGAGCGAAGCAAGUCUGAGCUGCCCUGGGUCUUCUAGAAAUUAUUGAAGAAGCGUCACGUAUCGAUAGAUCUGGAUCCUUUGUGUUGGAAGAGCUGCUGCGUCGGACUAUCAUAGUUCAUAUCAUAAUGUUGAUGCCUCUUUUGAUAUAGCGCUCAAAUAAGAUUAGGAGGAAGGGCAUCACACUCUCCGAUAGCAAACAAGAUACCACGUACCGAUCCUGAUUUAGAAUUAUGACAAGGAGUCAGGGACACAAUCAGAUUUAUACCAUCCGUUGUGAUGAUACAAGGAAAGUAAACAUAUACGCAUAUUGUGUUCAACGUGAUGAUACAAGCGAAAGCUGGCCUACGCCGCCAACUGAUCUGCGGCAGCGUGAAAGGAGUGUUCAAAAGUAGCAGGAACAGUUGUUCCACUGCUGGUCAGAGGGAGAGCUUGGCAAGGGAGAUAGAGGGAGCUCUACAACCACGAUCUUGGCAUACAACCCGAUGGCAUCAUGCCCACUUAAGCUUCUUCCAUGUUCCAAUUCUUGCAUUUGUUGGUCUUUUACUGUCAGAGCUUACGAAAUCCAUUACAAAUUGAGGUGAGGCCAAGUCGUGAACUUGCUGAGACGUCUUUGCCUUGAAUUCUAAGGCUUGAAUCUAAAUGGAGGCGAGGCCAAGUCUUGAAUGAAUACUAAGGUUUUCCAGAUCCUGGGAGUCUAUCCCUUCCAACAAUCUGGAGGUAGCAUAGUACAUCCGUACUCGCAGCUGGAAGAAUUCCACGAUAGACCAUUGCUUCAAGGUUGGGAGCGGCCACAACAUAAUUGACAUCAAAACCAGAUCUGGGUCCUACAUAUCCGGUCUUGCUCGUAUCCUACAAUGGUUUACAGAUGGUGUGGCUCCUUGCACUAAGAUGAUCGAUCAGAGAUCUAGAGUCCUCAAUACAGAUCGAUGACGCCUCCUCAAGAUUCACUUCUUCGUAGCCCCCAACCUUGGUAUAGUAUAAAAACCUAUAAAUAAAUCAGAAGAAUAGGCAAUUAUCGGAUGCUUAUGUUUGUUGGUGUAGUAGCCCUCUUAAGUCCAGUCCUAGAGAAGUGUGUCGUAGAAGCAUAUCAGGAAGACAUGGACGUGGAUAUGCAUUAUGGUUGUAUUAUGGACGUGGAUAUAUAUUUUACAUAUUUUUCUGAGUUUGU